GCCGGGCGUGGUGGCGGGCGCCUGUAGUCCCAGCUACUCGGGAGGCUGAGGCAGGAGAAUCGCUUGAACCCAGGAGGCAGCUUGCAGUGAGCCGAGAUCGCGUCACUGCAGUCCAGCCUGGGUGACAGAGCGAGAUUCUGUCCCCC
rnacentral:SRP_RNA from 1 species